rnacentral:rRNA from 1 species
AUUGAACGCUGGCGGCAGGCCUAACACAUGCAAGUCGAACGAGUGGCGGACGGGUGAGUAAUGUCUGGGAAACUGCCCGAUGGCGGGAGAUAACUACUGGAAACGGUAGCUAAUACCGCAUACCAUCGGAUGUGCCCAGAUGGGAUUAGCGAGUAGGUGGGGUAACGGCUCACCUAGGCGAAGAGCCCUAGCUGGUAUGAGAGGAUGCACAGCCACACUGGAACUGUGACACGGUCCAGACUCCUACGGUAGGCAGCAGGGUGGAAUAUUGCACAAGUGGCGCAAGACUGAUGCAGCCAUGCCGCGUGUAUGAAGAAGGCCUUCGGGUUGUAAAGUACUUUCAGCGAGGAGGCGUUACUCGCAGAAGAAGCACCGGCUAACUCCGUGCCAGCAGCCGCGGUAAUAC